rnacentral:rRNA from 1 species
AUUGAACGCUGGCGGCAUGCUUUACACAUGCAAGUCGAACGGUAACAGGCCGCAAGGUGCUGACGAGUGGCGAACGGGUGAGUAAUGCAUCGGAACGUGCCCAGUCGUGGGGGAUAACGCAGCGAAAGCUGCGCUAAUACCGCAUACGAUCUAUGGAUGAAAGCGGGGGACCGUAAGGCCUCGCGCGAUUGGAGCGGCCGAUGUCAGAUUAGGUAGUUGGUGGGGUAAAGGCUCACCAAGCCAACGAUCUGUAGCUGGUCUGAGAGGACGACCCGCGACACUGGGAAUGAGACACGGCCCAGACUCCUACGGGAGGAAGCAGUGGGGAAUUUUGGACAAUGGGCGCAAGCCUGAUCCAGCAAUGCCGCGUGCAGGAAGAAGGCCUUCGGGUUGUAAACUGCUUUUGUACGGAACGAAACGGUCCCGGUUAAUACCCGGGGCUAAUGACGGUACCGUAAGAAUAAGCACCGGCUAACUACGUGCCAGCCGCCGCGGUAAGAC